UCAGAUGAUGAUGAUAUAUGCAUAUGAGUUGUGGGGAAUGUUGUCUGGCUCGAGGUACAUCUGGGGUUAUCUUGAGUCACAUUCCAGAUGAUCUCGGACCAGGCUUCAUUCCCCUCAACCAAGCCGAGCUCAUCCUUCUUAUGA
rnacentral:pre_miRNA from 1 species